GACCAUUCUCAUCCACUGAGCCUCCCUCCUGCAGCUGGCUGAUGCAGUUCACUGCUGUCUGUGUAGAUACGGAGCUGUGACGAGAACAAGAGGCCAGAAAGCAUCCAGGCUCUUUAAGAGAAAACCUUUCUUUAACCGUUUUCGAAACUUUUCAAAGUCAGGGGCUUGUCCAGUCCAACCUCCCCACUGCUCCUAGCUCCCGAGGCUCAGUGCUCUUGGCUUCUGUCCGCCCUGCUGAGGGUCCUGCGGCGUUGCCACUGCUCAGCCAUGCUCCUGCUGCUCGUCCCAGUGCUCGCGGUGAUUUUUGUCCUGGGAGGAACCAGAGCCCAGUCUGUGACCCAGCUUGACGGCCAGGUCACUGUCUCUGAAGGAGCCCCUGUGCUGCUGAAGUGCACCUACUCGUCGUCUGUUUCAGUGUAUCCCUUCUGGUACGUGCGAUACCCCAACCAAGGACUCCAGUUUCUCCUGAAGUAUGUAUCAGGACCCACCCUGGUUAAAGGCAUCAAAGGUUUUGAGGCUGAAAUUAAGAAGAGUGAAAGCUCUUUCCACCUGAAGAAAUCCUCAGCCCAUGUGAGAGAUGCAGCCGAGUACUUCUGUGCUGUGAGUGACACAGUGCCUGAGACUGCAGGGGAGCUGAACACAAACCUCCUGAGAUACUGAGACUUUCUGUGACUCAAGAACUCAACCUUGAAGUCUGUUUUAUAAUGUUAAAUAGCCACUCAAAGUUUCUGAUGCUUACUGAUGUAUGCUGUAUCUUUUUCAACUAUUUAGUUUUAAACUAUGACUUUAAAGUGUUUCUGCAUUGUGAAGUUUAGAUAAUUAAAAUUGAAUAUAAAUAUCAAGCAGGUUGAAUUUAAGUAUAUUUCGUUACUGUUUUUAUGUUUCACCCAUGUUCUUUUUUUUCUGACUCCUUUUAGGUUAUUUAAAUACUUUUAAAUUCAUCUUUUAAUUAUGAACUUUUUGGCUAUAUCUCUGUACUUUUUGAGUAGUUGCUCUGGAGAUGGCAACGUACAUGCCUAAUUAUCCAGGGUCUUCUGUGAGCAAAUAUCAUACCUCUUUAUGUGAAAUGUCAAAAUCUUAUACAAUGUCUCUUGACCAACACUAAAGUUUGUUAUUGUUGUUCAUAUACAUUAGUUACAUACAUUGAAAACUUCAUCAGGCCUGGCGCAGUGGCUCAUGUUUAUAAUCCCAACACUUUGGGAGGCAGAGGCAGGAGGUUUGCUUGAACUCAGGAGUUUGAGACAAGCCUGGGCAACAAAGUGAGA